CAGACUAAAGUACAUAUGUAUGUGUUUUCAUUAAGGGUUGGUUCACAUUAUUUCGAAUUAGAAAUAAUGGAGUCGGAUUAUGAUGAGGAUCGUGGAGCUUGGACAGAAGAAAUGACAAGAAGUGAAGAUUGCUUAGGAGAAGAUAGUUUUGAUAAUCCUCAAGAGAUAUUAAAUGAAUGCUUGGAUAAAUUUAAAACACCAGAUUACAUCAUGGAACCUGGUAUCUUUGCACAACUUAAAAGAUAUUUUCAAGCUGGUGGAAACCCAGAACAAGUGAUAGAAUUGUUAUCUAAAAACUAUACAGCUUGUGCUCAAAUGGCAAAUCUUCUUGCAGAAUGGCUUAUUCUUGCUGGAGUUAAAGUUACAGAUGUACAAGCAAUGGUAGAAAACAACUUAAAAGAUAUGAUAUUGAAAACAUUUGAUCCCAAAAAAGCAGAUAAAAUCUUUACAGAGGAGGGUGAAACUCCUGCUUGGUUAACGGAAAUGAUACAACAUCCUACUUGGCGGUCACUUAUUUACAGACUUGCAGAAGAAUAUCCUGAUUGCUUGAUGUUAAACUUCACUAUAAAGCUUAUAUCUGAUGCUGGAUUUCAAGGUGAAAUUACGAGCAUUUCAACAGCUGCCCAACAAAUUGAAGUAUUUUCACGAGUUUUAAAAACUGCAAUUGCUGGAUUUUUGCAAAAUACAGAAGAUUGGCAGUCAAGUAUACAAGAAUGUGCAAAAAUGGUAUGUCAUGGACAACACACUUACGUCUACAGUCAAGUAUUGUUGCAAAUUCUUGCACAAGAAUCACGUGGUGGAUUUAUGAUGAAAAGGCUUUCUCAGGAAAUCACUAAAUGCGCUCAACAGAACCAUCAUGAUGUUACUCCAAUAACAAUGGCACUUAAUGGAGCUUCAAGUAGCCCUAGUGCAUGUCAAGCACUUGCAUCCAUGUUAUCACGGAAUACCUUAAAUCCUGCUGAUAUUACUGUAUUAUUUCGAAAUUAUUCUACUGCGGAACCACCUCCUAUAGAAUUACUUCGUAAUCCACAAUUCUUAGAACUAUUAGUUGAUGCACUUUUUAAACCGGGUGUAAAAAUUAAUCCUGAGCAUAAAUCUAAAUACAUAUAUUUAUUAGCUUAUGCAGCUAGUGUAUGUGAUAUUCCAGCCAAGAAGGGGCAUUCACGGAAAUUAAAUAAGGAUGAAUUAAAAACAACUAUUCAAGCUAUAGAAAAAGUCCAUAACAUUUGUAACAUUAAUAAAGGAUCUACUGAAUUGAUAGCAGAAUUACAAACUUUAUAUCAGUGCAUAAGAUUUCCUGUUGUAAGUGUAGGUAUAAUUAGAUGGGUGGAGUGUACUGUAACUGAACCAUCAUAUUUUAAAUUGUGCACGGAACAUUGUCCUGUACAUCUUGCAUUACUUGAUGAAGUUGUAGUUUGCCAUUCUUUACUGCAUCCAAAAGUGUUACAACUUCUUGUACAGUUAUUUGAAAGUAAACAAGACGAACUGGAAAUACUUGUGCAGAUUUGAAUGUACGGGUACUCGAGAUUACAGGCUUUGGCGUAGUGGGUACUCGCAACGUAGGAAUGCUUGGGUUGCCCGAUACUUUUUAGGAUUGACUCAUGCACAGCUCGAAAAGUGAGAAGAUAGAUAUAACAAGAGAAAACGAGAUAGAUAUGGCACUUCAAUGGGAUGCCGCAAGUGAAAAACAUAAUCGGUAAUUAUGUAGAAAAGGGGAUAUUUCACGUUUGUCGAUUUUUCUAAUACGACUUAACAAAUCAAGACGAUUUCUUUUGCAUCUCAUAAGGAGGUUUAGAGCCGGAAAUUUUAAUCUGGAACAUGAAGAUCGCAGCGAACAUCCAUCCACCACUGAUACUGACCUUAUCAAUGCCUACCUCGAUGAAAACCCAAGGUCUAGUGUUCGUGAGAUAGCAGAUGCUUUAAACAUUCCGCGAACAACGAUUCAUGAGCAUUUAACAAAGCUUAGGUACGUUAAUCGCUACGAAGUGUUGGGUCCCCCAUCAACUGACGGAGAGCAAUCUCCUGAAUCGAAUCUCGACAUGCGAUUUUCUAUUUCAACGCAACAAAAGAGAGCCAUUUUUCAAAAAAUUAAUUACUGGGGAUGCAAGUUGGAUUCUCUACGACAACACUGCGCGCAAGCGAUCUUGGUCGAGUCGAGAUAAGUGUCCUCCAACGGUAGCAAGACCUCGACUUCACCCGAAGAAGGUACUGCUUUCAAUUUGAUGGGACUGGAAGGGUAUCCUCUGCUACGAAUUAGUUCCGGAAGGAUAAACGAUCAACAGUGAAAAAUAUUGCACCCAACUCGAAAAACUUAAGGAAACCAUUAUCACAAAACGUCCUGAAGUGGUGAACAGACGUAGCGUCGUGUUCUACCACGAUAACGCGGGGCCACACGUUUCUUUAGCAGUGCGAACGAAGCUUCUAGAUGUUUACCACAUCCUCCAUACUCUCCAGACCUUGCACCAUCGAACUAUUAUUUGUUCCUCUCCCUAAAGAAUUUUCUUCGCAAUAGAAAAUUCAAAUCAGUAAACAAAGUGAAAAACGACCUCGAAGAAUAUUUUAAAAGUAAAUCAAGAGAAUUUUGGAAAAAUGGCAUUAUGAGGCUCCCGGAGAGAUGGCAAAAGGUGAUAGAAGAGAAAGGAUCAUACAUCAUUUAAGAAAGAAAGCAAGAGACAAUGAAAAAUGUGUUCUUUCCUCGUUUUGGAUCAACGGUCCCGUUGUGCAAUGCGCCGCUGUCAAGAAAGGCCUUGACUAGAGGUCCUUUUCUCUUCACAGUUUCCUAGUUUAGGAGAAAUAAGUUUUGUGGACCCAUUCGAAAUGUCGCAGUUGUUCUCUUUUAUUGUCCCUAUAAUCUGUCCAGCAGGAUAAGAGAGCAGACACAAAUAAAAUGUGAUUGCAGCGGCCGCAACUAUUGGCUCUCGUCUCGUUGAAUAAAUUAUAGCUGCAUUCUU